GAAGCAAAAUUGUGAUAUCAAGCAAAUCUCAAAAAAUCGUUCUCAGUUCGGAUUGUAGUCUGCAACUCGACUACAUGAAGUCGGAAUCGCUAGUAAUCGUAGAUCAGCUACGCUACGGUGAAUACGUUCUCGGGUCUUGUACACACCGCCCGUCACACCAUUGGAGCUGGAAAGCCC
rnacentral:rRNA from 1 species